GUGCAAUGGCAUAAGCCAGCUUGACUGCGAGCGUGACGGCGCGAGCAGGUGCGAAAGCAGGUCAUAGUGAUCCGGUGGUUCUGAAUGGAAGGGCCAUCGCUCAACGGAUAAAAGGUACUCCGGGGAUAACAGGCUGAUACCGCCCAAGAGUUCAUAUCGACGGCGGUGUUUGGCACCUCGAUGUCGGCUCAUCACAUCCUGGGGCUGAAGUAGGUCCCAAGGGUAUGGCUGUUCGCCAUUUAAAGUGGUACGCGAGCUGGGUUUAGAACGUCGUGAGACAGUUCGGUCCCUAUCUGCCGUGGGCGCUGGAGAACUGAGGGGGGCUGCUCCUAGUACGAGAGGACCGGAGUGGACGCAUCACUGGUGUUCGGGUUGUCAUGCCAAUGGCACUGCCCGGUAGCUAAAUGCGGAAGAGAUAAGUGCUGAAAGCAUCUAAGCACGAAACUUGCCCCGAGAUGAGUUCUCCCUGAGACUUAAAGUCUCCUGAAGGAACGUUGAAGACGACGACGUU
rnacentral:rRNA from 1 species